rnacentral:rRNA from 1 species
GACGAACGCUGGCGGCGUGCUUAACACAUGCAAGUCGAACGGAAAGGCCCUGCUUUUGUGGGGUGCUCGAGUGGCGAACGGGUGAGUAACACGUGAGUAACCUGCACUUGACUUUGGGAUAACUUCAGGAAACUGGGGCUAAUACCGGCUAGGAGCUCCUGCUGCAUGGUGGGGGUUGGAAAGUUUCGGCGGUUGGGGAUGGACUCGCGGCUUAUCAGCUUGUUGGUGGGGUAGUGGCUUACCAAGGCUUUGACGGGUAGCCGGCCUGAGAGGGUGACCGGCCACAUUGGGACUGAGAUACGGCACAGACUCCUACGGGAGGCAGCAGUGGGGAAUAUUGCACAAUGGGCGGAAGCCUGAUGCAGCCACGCCGCGUGCGGGAUGACGGCCUUCGGGUUGUAAACCGCUUUCGCCUGUGACGAAGCGUGAGUGACGGUAAUGGGUAAAGAAGCACCGGCUAACUACGUG